GAUGGAGAACGUAGCGAAAUGCGAUAAGUAAUGUGAAUUGCAGAAUUCAGUGAAUCAUCGAAUCUUUGAACGCACAUUGCGCCCGCUAGUAUUCUGGCGGGCAUGCCUGUCCGAGCGUCAUUUCAACCCUCAAGCCCCCGGGCUUGGUGUUGGGGAUCGGCGAGCCUCCGCGCCCGCCGUCCCCUAAAUCUAGUGGCGGUCUCGCUGUAGCUUCCUCUGCGUAGUAGCACACCUCGCACUGGGAAACAGCGCGGCCACGCCGUUAAACCCCCAACUUCUGAACGUUUGACCUCGGAUCAGGUAGGAAUACCCGCUGAACUUAAGCAUAUCAAUAAGCGGAGGA
rnacentral:misc_RNA from 1 species